rnacentral:rRNA from 1 species
ACGGGGGGUGCGAGCGUUGUCCGGAAUCACUGGGCGUAAAGGGCGCGUAGGUGGUUUGAUAAGGGUGUGGUGAAAGUCAGGGGCUCAACCCCUGAAUGCGGGUGGAUACUGCUGGGCUAGAGUCCGGAAGAGGCGAGUGGGAUUCCUGGUGUAGCGGUGAAAUGCGCAGAUAUCAGGAGGAACACCGAUGGCGAAGGCAGCUCGCUGGGACGGUACUGACGCUGAGGCGCGAAAGCGUGGGGAGCAAACAGGA